rnacentral:rRNA from 1 species
CACGUAGGGCGCGAGCGUUGUCCGGAAUUAUUGGGCGUAAAGAGCUCGUAGGCGGCCUGUUGCGUCCGCUGUGAAAGCCCGGGGCUUAACCCCGGGUCUGCAGUGGAUACGGGCAGGCGUAGAGUGUGGUAGGGGAGACUGGAAUUCCUGGUGUAGCGGUGGAAUGCGCAGAUAUCAGGAGGAACACCGAUGGCGAAGGCAGGUCUCUGGCCAUUACUGACACUGAGAAGCGAAAGCAUGGGGAGCGAACAGG